rnacentral:rRNA from 1 species
GAUGAACGCUGACAGAAUGCUGAACACAUGCAAGUCUACUUGAUUCUACUUCGGUAGUUGAUGGUGGCGGACGGGUGAGUAACGCGUAAAGAAUCUGCCCUUUAGUUUGGGAUAACCUUUGGAAACGAAGGCUAAUACCGGAUAUUAUGGAGACGUCGCACGACGACUCCAUGAAAGCUAUAUGCGCUAGAGGAGGACUUUGCGUCCCAUUAGUUAGUUGGUGAGGUAAUGGCUCACCAAGACCGCGAUGGGUAGCCGGCCUGAGAGGGUGAUCGGCCACAAGGGAACUGAGGCACGGUCCUUACUCCUACGGGAGGCAGCAGUGGGGAAUAUUGGACAAUGGGCCACAAGCCUGAUCCAGCAAUUCUGUGUGCACGAUGAAGGUCUUCGGAUUGUAAAGUGCUUUCAGUAGGGAAGAAAAAAAUGACGGUACCUACAGAAGAAGCGACGGCUAAAUAUGUGCCAGCAGCCGCCGUAA